rnacentral:rRNA from 1 species
AGAAGCGAAACUAGCGAAGUGGAGCAAAACUACUAAAAAACAAAUCUCAGUUCAGAUUGCAGGCUGCAACUCGCCUGCAUGAAGUCGGAAUUGCUAGUAAUCGUAGGUCAGCAUACUACGGUGAAUACGUUCCCGGGCCUUGUACACACCGCCCGUCAAACCAUGAGAGUUGGCAACACCCGAAGUCGGUAGUCUAACCGCAAGGAGGACGCCGCCGAAGGUGGGGUUGAUGAUUAGGGUUAAGUCGUAACAAGGUAGC